UACGAAGGGGGCUAGCGUUGCUCGGAAUCACUGGGCGUAAAGCGCACGUAGGCGGCUUUCUAAGUCAGGGGUGAAAUCCUGGAGCUCAACUCCAGAACUGCCUUUGAUACUGGAGAGCUCGAGUCCGGAAGAGGUGAGUGGAACUCCGAGUGUAGAGGUGAAAUUCGUAGAUAUUCGGAAGAACACCAGUGGCGAAGGCGGCUCACUGGUCCGGUACUGACGCUGAGGUGCGAAAGCGUGGGGAGCGAACAGG
rnacentral:rRNA from 1 species